rnacentral:rRNA from 1 species
GAUGAACGCUAGCUACAGGCUUAACACAUGCAAGUCGCGGGGCAGCAUGGGGGUUGCUUGCAAUCCCCGAUGGCGACCGGCGCACGGGUGAGUAACGCGUAUCCAACCUGCCCUUCACCACGGGAUAACCCGGCGAAAGUCGGACUAAUACCGUAUGUUGUCCAUUGACGGCAUCCGAUUUGGACGAAAGGUUUGGCGGUGAAGGAUGGGGAUGCGUCCGAUUAGCUGGACGGCGGGGUGACGGCCCACCGUGGCGACGAUCGGUAGGGGUUCUGAGAGGAAGGUCCCCCACACUGGAACUGAGACACGGUCCAGACUCCUACGGGAGGCAGCAGUGAGGAAUAUUGGUCAAUGGGCGUAAGCCUGAACCAACCAAGUAGCGUGCAGGAUGACGGCCCUAUGGGUUGUAAACUGCUUUUAUGCGGGGAUAAAGUGGCCCACGUGUGGGUUUUUGCAGGUACCGCAUGAAUAAGGACCGGCUAAUUCCGUG